rnacentral:misc_RNA from 1 species
UAUCAACCAUCAAGCCUGGCUUGUCGUUGGACCCUUUGUCGUUGAAGUACGCGACAGGUCCAAAAGAUAACGACGGUGUCUGUUUGACCCUAAGAUGCAACGAGUCUUUACAGCACGCAUUGAAGUGUUGGCAGGCCCGGUCUUAACCAUCAUUUUCUAAGGUUGACCUCGGAUCAGGUAGGAAUACCCGCUGAACUUAA